rnacentral:rRNA from 1 species
GAUGAACGCUGGCGGCGUGCCUAAUACAUGCAAGUCGAGCGAACAGACGAGGAGCUUGCUCCUCUGACGUUAGCGGCGGACGGGUGAGUAACACGUGGAUAACCUACCUAUAAGACUGGGAUAACUUCGGGAAACCGGAGCUAAUACCGGAUAAUAUAUUGAACCGCAUGGUUCAAUAGUGAAAGACGGUUUUGCUGUCACUUAUAGAUGGAUCCGCGCCGCAUUAGCUAGUUGGUAAGGUAACGGCUUACCAAGGCAACGAUGCGUAGCCGACCUGAGAGGGUGAUCGGCCACACUGGAGCUGAGACACGGUCCAGACUCCUACGGGAGGCAGCAGUAGGGAAUCUUCCGCAAAGGGCGAAAGCCUGACGGAGCAACGCCGCGUGAGUGAUGAAGGUCUUCGGAUCGUAAAACUCUGUUAUUAGGGAAGAACAAAUGUGUAAGUAACUAUGCACGUCUUGACGGUACCUAAUCAGAAAGCCACGGCUAACUACGUG